UGCAAGCUCCAAGGGGUGGGGUGGAAGAUUGGAGGAUUUAGAAUUUUAGUAAGGACGAGAAUUACUUUGUGCGCUCUGCUUAUCGUUUGUGCAUUGAGGUGCCCUCCGAUGAUAAGCACUUACAUUAGCACGCUGCCUGGAAAUAUUAUAGUGCCUAGAGCUCCCAAAUCGGGUGUGAAACACCAUCUCUGACAAGUUUCAAGGCAUGGUCUUCUCACAAGGGAAACAUUGGCUAGGAGACAUGUUCUUAUCUCGGUCGAAUGCGGCUUAUGUUCAAUAGUUGUCAAGGUCUCCUGACAUAUUUUCUUACGCUACCCAACGGUGAGUUUUGUUGGAAGAUAGUGAAUUUGGGCAGGCUAGUGAAGUGGUGGCGUGUAGGGUGAGUACUAUUGAUGCUUCGAUAUUUGAGAUGUUGUAAGUAAUUCCACAUGACAAUAUGUAAACUUUUGUGGCAGUUUUGUACGGUUCGUGGACGGAGAGGAAUGGAAGAGUGUGGAAGCAGCAAUCUUGCCCAAGGAAUUGGUUGUUAACCUUGCCCAUGAGCUGAUUAGGGAGUGGCGGCAGAUGCAGGGGGAAGGAAAUGGACCGACGGCUCAUAGGCAGCCUGAUAUUUGAAAGAUAUGGCAUCGACCACCAGUGGGAGUUACGAAAAUUAAUGUAGAUGUAGCCGUUUUCUUUGUUGCCUUAAGCUUUGGGAUUGGAUUGGCUCAUAGAUUGGUGAACACAAGUAAUACAAACAGUAUAUCAUCCUAGACUACUAUCAUAAUGCGAGCCUACUGGGCAACUAGUAGGAUAUCUAGCACUAGCCUCAUAGUGGAUAAGACCAUGAAACCAUCCCAACCGUGUGAAUAAACCUAAACCCUAAACCCUAAACCUGUUCUUUAUUCCCGUCAACUCACAUAUCCGUCUUAACUUUGGUAUCACACCAAAGUCAAGUCCAUAGUGUAUAUUUCCAACAUUCA
rnacentral:lncRNA from 1 species